AAGAGAGACAUUAAACUUUAUGCACAGUACAAGAGUUAAAUAAUACCAGAAAACCUUUUAUUUUCUAUCCCCAGAAGCCAACUACCUCCUUGAUGACACUACUCUAAUGACAGAAGCACCACUAAUUUAGCUGCAGGCUUGCUUUUUGGCAUUUUUCUGCUGCGACUGAAUCUUCUGCUGUCCACGAGCCAUAUCUACAAACAAAAAGAAGACAUUUAGUCUACAAACAUGAGAAACUACUGCUGCUAUCUGACUGAGGAGCCGUCACCAUGAGCACAAUGCAGUCAUGCGCUCUGUCCACAAGGCCUACAACUCACAUAACUCAAACACAACAGACAUCUGUUCAAGCUCUUUGCUAUGUAAAGCCUCUGGCUUCAGUAUCAUUCCUAAAAUAAACACCAGAAUUAUUAGGCCA